UCUUCUGUGGCAGAUAAGUGCAAUGAAUUUAAGAUUCAUUUAUAAAAUUUAAUAUUUUCUUUAGAA
rnacentral:tRNA from 1 species